rnacentral:rRNA from 1 species
GUGGGGAAUAUUGGACAAUGGGCGAAAGCCUGAUCCAGCAAUGCCGCGUGAGUGAUGAAGGCCCUAGGGUUGUAAAGCUCUUUUACCCGGGAUGAUAAUGACAGUACCGGGAGAAUAAGCUCCGGCUAACUCCGUGCCAGCAGCCGCGGUAAUACGGAGGGAGCUAGCGUUGUUCGGAAUUACUGGGCGUAAAGCGCGCGUAGGCGGUUUUUUAAGUCAGAGGUGAAAGCCCGGGGCUCAACCCCGGAAUUGCCUUUGAAACUGGAAAACUUGAAUCUUGGAGAGGUCAGUGGAAUUCCGAGUGUAGAGGUGAAAUUCGUAGAUAUUCGGAAGAACACCAGUGGCGAAGGCGACUGACUGGACAAGUAUUGACGCUGAGGUGCGAAAGCGUGGGGAGCAAACAGGAUUAGAUACCCCUGUAGUCC